CACAAAAAAACGAUAGGCUAUCCUCUCAAUAGGCUAGCAUGUCGCGCUGUGCUUAAGGAGCCUAUCUAUCACGCAAUGAGCAAUUAAUUCGGUUUCAUGUUAAAUUCUGCUAAUUAUUCUUGCACCUUCUGCAACAGGUUCCUGUAGUAAAAACGGACAAGACAUGUCUGUGACAGACUUCCUGUAUCACCUCUGCUUGUAAAGCCUCAAUCUAAACCUGCUCCUGAGCAGGUUUAAGUUUACGGACCUGUUGCUAUGACAGCAAGUCCAGGAUGAGCUUCGAAGAACCGAACAAUCCAAGAUAAUGACAAAUCGUCAACAAUCAAAUCCAGCUAACUGAGUUAGCGACGUACGGAGAACGGGCCCCUGGUGUGAGGGGCAUGUGUGGUGCCUUGUAAAUAUGCACACAGCAUUGUCGGUAUUAAUGGUUUUCAUUAUGCGUUUUACUUGUGAAUAUACAGUAUGCUUACUUCUCAAUGGUAUCUAAUUUAACCGUGUGCCGUUUGUGUGUGCCCGAGGGAGAGGGAGAGGAUGUUCGUUUUUUGGAGAGGAUAGAACGGUUGAGAGAAAAAAAAAUGUUUGUCAUGUUUUGAAUGUUAGUUUUUUUGUGUUUUGGCUUAUAAGUAAUUAAAGGGGCUGAUGGCCACUUUCCCAAUG